UAACCUGCCCAAGAGAUCGGGAUAACACCUGGAAACAGAUGCUAAUACCGGAUAACAACAGAUGAUGCCUAUCAACUGUUUAAAAGAUGGUUCUGCUAUCACUCUUGGAUGGACCUGCGGUGCAUUAGCUAGUUGGUAGGGUAACGGCCUACCAAGGCGAUGAUGCAUAGCCGAGUUGAGAGACUGAUCGGCCACAUUGGGACUGAGACACGGCCCAAACUCCUACGGGAGGCAGCAGCUU
rnacentral:rRNA from 1 species